GACGAACGCUGGCGGCGUGCUUAACACAUGCAAGUCGAACGGAAAGGCCAUGCUUUUGUGGGGUGCUCGAGUGGCGAACGGGUGAGUAACACGUGAGUAACCUGCCCUUGACUUUGGGAUAACUUCAGGAAACUGGGGCUAAUACCGGAUAGGAGCUCCUGCUGCAUGGUGGGGGUUGGAAAGUUUCGGCGGUUGGGGAUGGACUCGCGGCUUAUCAGCUUGUUGGUGGGGUAGUGGCUUACCAAGGCUUUGACGGGUAGCCGGCCUGAGAGGGUGACCGGCCACAUUGGGACUGAGAGACGGCCCAGACUCCUACGGGAGGCAGCAGUGGGGAAUAUUGCACAAUGGGCGGAAGCCUGAUGCAGCAACGCCGCGUGCGGGAUGACGGCCUUCGGGUUGUAAACCGCUUUCGCCUGUGACGAAGCGUGAGUGACGGUAAUGGGUAAAGAAGCACCGGCUAACUAUGUG
rnacentral:rRNA from 1 species